GUUUUUCUGUUUUCAUGUGCUGCUUAUUGAAAUACAAAAAUUAUAACUGAAUAUACAAAUCGAUCUUAGAUUUUUCACAAAGGUUUUACAUUAUUAACCAGUGCCCCACAUAUCUAUAUGCCAAGGUGUACACAGGUUUGCUCAAGAUGUGUAUUAGAAUGGGAAACUAUGAAUACCAAUUUUGGCCAAUCUUUUAGUCAAUUAAUGUUGUCCGG